rnacentral:rRNA from 1 species
GUUCCUUGGAAAAGGACAGCUGAGAGGGUGAGACUCCCGUCCGCCUGGUAGAGUGAGCCUUUGUCAAAGAGUCGAGUUGUUUGGGAUUGCAGCUCUAAUUUGGUGGUAAAUUCCAUCUAAAGCUAAAUAUUGGUGGGAGACCGAUAGCGUACAAGUACCGUGAGGGAAAGAUGCAAAGAACUUUGAAAAGAGAGUUAAAGAGUACCUGAAAUUGCUGAAACGGAAGCGAAGGAAACCAGUGUUUGUUGGUUCAUAUUUCCCUGGCCACUUGUGGUUUGGGCGCUGUGAGCUUGCGUGGGUUUGCUUUGGUUGAUCCCUUUGGAAGAGCGCAGUCAGAGUUGAUGUCU